UCCCUGGUGGUCCAGUGGCUAAGACUCCACACUCUCAAUGCUGGGGCCCAUGUUUGAUCCCUGGUCAGGGAA
rnacentral:tRNA from 1 species